GACGUAGGGCGCAAGCGUUGUCCGGAUUUAUUGGGCGUAAAGAGCUCGUAGGCGGCUUGUCGCGUCGACUGUGAAAUCCCGCGGCUCAACUGCGGGUCUGCAGUCGAUACGGGCAGGCUCGAGUUCGGUAGGGGAGACUGGAAUUCCUGGUGUAGCGGUGAAAUGCGCAGAUAUCAGGAGGAACACCGGUGGCGAAGGCGGUUCUCUGGGAAUGUUCUGACGCUGAGGAGCGAAAGUGUGGGGAGCGAACAGG
rnacentral:rRNA from 1 species